GUAAUAAUCCUGUAGUCGAAAAUGUUGUCUCUCUUGAGUGGAUCCUGAGUACGACGGAGCACGUGAAAUUCCGUCGGAAUCUGGGAGGACCAUCUCCUAAGGCUAAAUACUCUCUAGUGACCGAUAGUGAACCAGUACCGUGAGGGAAAGGUGAAAAGCACCCCGGAAGGGGAGUGAAAUAGAACCUGAAACCGUGUGCUUACAAGUAGUCAGAGCCCGUUAAUGGGUGAUGGCGUGCCUUUUGUAGAAUGAACCGGCGAGUUACGAUUUGAUGCAAGGUUAAGCAGUAAAUGUGGAGCCGUAGCGAAAGCGAGUCUGAAUAGGGCGUUUAGUAUUUGGUCGUAGACCCGAAACCAGGUGAUCUACCCUUGGUCAGGUUGAAGUUCAGGUAACACUGAAUGGAGGACCGAACCGACUUACGUUGAAAAGUGAGCGGAUGAACUGAGGGUAGCGGAGAAAUUCCAAUCGAACCUGGAGAUAGCUGGUUCUCUCCGAAAUAGCUUUAGGGCUAGCCUCAAGUGAUGAUUAUUGGAGGUAGAGCACUGUUUGGACGAGGGGCCCCUCUCGGGUUACCGAAUUCAGACAAACUCCGAAUGCCAAUUAAUUUAACUUGGGAGUCAGAACAUGGGUGAUAAGGUCCGUGUUCGAAAGGGAAACAGCCCAGACCACCAGCUAAGGUCCCAAAAUAUAUGUUAAGUGGAAAAGGAUGUGGCGUUGCCCAGACAACUAGGAUGUUGGCUUAGAAGCAGCCAUCAUUUAAAGAGUGCGUAAUAGCUCACUAGUCGAGUGACACUGCGCCGAAAAUGUACCGGGGCUAAACAUAUUACCGAAGCUGUGGAUUGUCCUUUGGACAAUGGUAGGAGAGCGUUCUAAGGGCGUUGAAGCAUGAUCGUAAGGACAUGUGGAGCGCUUAGAAGUGAGAAUGCCGGUGUGAGUAGCGAAAGACGGGUGAGAAUCCCGUCCACCGAUUGACUAAGGUUUCCAGAGGAAGGCUCGUCCGCUCUGGGUUAGUCGGGUCCUAAGCUGAGGCCGACAGGCGUAGGCGAUGGAUAACAGGUUGAUAUUCCUGUACCACCUAUAAUCGUUUUAAUCGAUGGGGGGACGCAGUAGGAUAGGCGAAGCGUGCGAUUGGAUUGCACGUCUAAGCAGUAAGGCUGA
rnacentral:rRNA from 1 species